rnacentral:rRNA from 1 species
GUCCACGCCGUAACGAUGAAUGCUAGCCGUUGGGCAGCUUGCUGUUCAGUGGCGCAGCUAACGCAUUAAGCAUUCCGCCUGGGAGUACGGCCGCAAGGUUGAAACUCAAAGGAAUUGACGGGGCCCGCACAAGCGGUGGAGCAUGUGGUUUAAUUCGACGCAACGCGCAGAACCUUACCAGGGUUUGACAUCCUGCGACCGCUCCGUAAUGGGAGUUUCCCGCAAGGGACGCAGAGACAGGUGCUGCAUGGCUGUCGU